rnacentral:pre_miRNA from 1 species
GAUGUACUCCCUCCGUUCGAAAUUACUUGUCACAAAAAUGGAUGUAUCUACAACUAAAAUACAUCUAGAUACAUUCAUUUCUUGGACGAGUAAUUCCGAAUGGAGGGAGUAUAUA